rnacentral:rRNA from 1 species
UACGUAGGGUGCGAGCGUUGUCCGGAAUUAUUGGGCGUAAAGGGCUCGUAGGCGGUUUGUCGCGUCGGGAGUGAAAACACCGGGCUUAACUCGGUGCUUGCUUUCGAUACGGGCAGACUAGAGGCAUGCAGGGGAGAACGGAAUUCCUGGUGUAGCGGUGAAAUGCGUAGAUAUCAGGAGGAACACCGGUGGCGAAGGCGGUUCUCUGGGCAUUACCUGACGCUGAGGAGCGAAAGUGUGGGGAGCGAACAGG